rnacentral:rRNA from 1 species
CCUACGGGAGGCAGCAGUAGGGAAUAUUUCGCAAUGGGGGAAACCCUGAUGCAGCAACGCCGCGUGGGGGAUGAAGGUUUUAGGAUUGUAAACCCCUUUUGUUAGAGAAGAUAAUGACGGUAUCUAACGAAUAAGCUCCGGCGAACUCCGUGCCAGCAGCCGCGGUAUUACGGAGGGUGCAAGCGUUAGUCGGAAUCACUGGGCGUAAAGCGUGCGCAGGCGGUCUUGUAAGUCUGAUGUGAAGUCGUGUGGCUUAACCUCAGAACGGCAUGUGAAACUAGGAGUCUAGAGUGUGGGAGAGGUAAGUGGAAUUCUUGGUGUAGCGGUGAAAUGCGUAGAUAUCAAGAGGAAUACUCGUGGCGAAGGCGACCUACUGGAACGUAACUGACGCUGAUGCACGAAAGCGUGGGGAGCAAACAGGAUUAGAUACCCUAGUAGUC